UCCAUAGCUUCAUCUCUGACC
rnacentral:miRNA from 1 species